GUUUUGUUCUUCACCCUCCUCCAGAUCCUGCUCAGAUCCACCCUGUAAUCUUGCCAUCUCUCUUUGCGACAUCGCUCUUCAGCCACACCCGGGAUGACGCACUGCCAUUUUUCAGCUCAUUUCAUUGUGUGCCUACAAGUCCUGCUGCAAAACCAGCGUGGAAAGAAACAACAGACAAAAAUAACAAAGCCAGUCCAGCCUCAAAGGUGGAUCUGCAGCCUCUAUAUCAUUGCAGAGAAGAAGUACAGCAAUAAAAAGGGACAUGUAUUAACAUGAACAUGGAGGUGUAGGGAUAUGAGAAUGGCCUGGUGAGAUUUCACUGUCCCAGCAUUUAGUAAAAUAAUUUGAACUAG